rnacentral:rRNA from 1 species
UACGGAGGGUGCGAGCGUUAAUCGGAAUUACUGGGCGUAAAGGGUUCGUAGGUGGUUAGAUAAGUCAGAUGUGAAAGCCCUGGGCUCAACCUGGGAGUUGCAUAUGAAACUGUUUGACUAGAGUUUGGUAGAGGAUUGGGGAAUUUCCAGUGUAGCGGUGAAAUGCGUAGAGAUUGGAAAGAACAUCGAUGGCGAAGGCAACAAUCUGGACCUGAACUGACACUGAGGGACGAAAGCGUGGGGAGCAAACGGG